GCCUUCUUAGUGUAGUGGGCAGCACAUCAGUCUCAUAAUCUGCAAGUCCUGAUUUAGAGCCUCAGAGAAGGCC
rfam:Chelonia mydas contig210750, whole genome shotgun sequence.